rnacentral:rRNA from 1 species
ACGAACGCUGGCGGCGUGCCUAAUACAUGCAAGUAGAACGCUGAAGAGAGGAGCUUGCUCUUCUUGGAUGAGUUGCGAACGGAUGAGUAACGCGUAGGUAACCUGCCUUGUAGCGGGGGAUAACUAUUGGAAACGAUAGCUAAUACCGCAUAACAAUGGAUGACACAUGUCAUUUAUUUGAAAGGGGCAAUUGCUCCACUACAAGAUGGACCUGCGUUGUAUUAGCUAGUAGGUGAGGUAAUGGCUCACCUAGGCGACGAUACAUAGCCGACCUGAGAGGGUGAUCGGCCACACUGGGACUGAGACACGGCCCAGACUCCUACGGGAGGCAGCAGUAGGGAAUCUUCGGCAAUGGGGGCAACCCUGACCGAGCAACGCCGCGUGAGUGAAGAAGGUUUUCGGAUCGUAAAGCUCUGUUGUAAGUCAAGAACGGGUGUGAGAGUGGAAAGUUCACACUGUGACGGUAGCUUACCAGAAAGGGACGGCUAACUACGUG